CAUAGCAACCAUAUCACCCUGCAACUCACAACUGGCAACCCACAAGCUAAGCAGGUGUGAGCCUGGUCAGUACCUGGAUGGGAGACCUCCUGGGAAAAACUAAGGUUGCUGCUGGAA
rnacentral:rRNA from 1 species